AACCUAGCACACCUGCGGUGUGUACCUGCGGAAGGAUCAUUACAGAGUUGCAAAACUCCCUAAACCAUUGUGAACGUUACCUAAACCGUUGCUUCGGCGGGCGGCCCGGGUCCUUCCCGGCGCCCAUCGGCCCUCGCGGGCGCCCGCCGGAGGUAAACCAAACUAUUGCAUUGUAUGGCCUCUCUGAGUCUUCUGUACUGAAUAAGUCAAAACUUUCAGCAACGGAUCUCAGAUCGGAAG
rnacentral:misc_RNA from 1 species